CAUAGCACAGGCAGGAAGUGGAGACAAGCCACAGGCUUCAGAAAACUCAAUCGAUCAGAUUGAUCCGAAGACACCUGAGUGGACACGCAGGUAUGGAAUUGUAGAAUUAGACUGGAGUAAUUUAUGGUCAUGCAUACCAUGGGGAAGCCUGAAUCUUGUUCGCUUGUUUUAGAAUUGGGACAGAAGUAAAAUUAGUAAACUAGUUGGAAAUGCGAUGGCUCGAUGGUCGUAGCUUGUACUCCCUCCGUCCGGAAAUACUUGUCAUCAAAAUGGAUAAGAGGGGAUGUAUCUAGACGUACUUUAGUUUAAGAUACAUCUUUUUUUAUCCAUUUUGAUGACAACUAUUUUCGGACGGAGGGAGUAUGAACCUAGCAACCAACCAUCAGCUCGCAGGAAUGGUAGUCCGCCACCCAGGGACGACACCGAAUUGUUGGCUGCAGCAGUGCAGGGAUCUUCAACAUCAGCAGCUCCGGCAAUGGGUCUCCAAACAGCGACCCAUGCACUCGGUCCAGUCGACUUUGCGCAGCAAAUACACAGGCGAUAUCCAAUGCAUCGGAUGUCAUCUCCAUCUUACUGAAGGAGCAGAUUGCAAGGUGCCAACGUGAAAUCAAUACUGCCCGCUUUAAUGUGCAAGCCGAUAUGAUUAAGUUCGUAGACAAACUAAUGGAUGCGAUUAGCAAGAGGUGCAUAUGUUGCACUGCAAGGGGUUUUACCGACUGCCCAGCUAGAGCUGUUGAUCUGAACAUUGGUGCCCAACCUGUUGUAUUCAAGACACCGGCCGGUCCUAAAAUCCCUGGUGUCCGGCUUGACAUGUCAGCAUGCUCUGCUGGCACCUGCUGGCACCUCAACUGUACGGAGACUCCAUGAGGAAACAACCCCCUGCCAGCAGGAGAAGAGGCAGCGGACCGAUGAAGGUUUGUUGUCUAUAAUUACCGAGCAAAUUUUAUCAUUUGUGAAGCAGACCCUUAAGGCAAUUAGUGAGCUCUUCAUCGACCUCCCAAAUGAUGGGAGCACUACUGUGUUCGGUGCGAGGAAAAAAGAGCUUCCUGGCCGAAAAUAUGUACACAGGCCUGGGUUCCAAAGAGAUCCGUGGACUAGGGGGGUCAUUCCGUAUCCCCCUCAGCCUGCUGUGUCGCAACUUCUAUCUGACUUUUCACCUCCGCGCCUCGCAAACAUCUUACCAGCAACUGCCUUGUUCACGAGCAUCCAAGGUUCAUACGGAUAUCAGGUGUCGCCUUGAAAGAACAGCUCGCAGGCGAGGCGGCAAUUGACCAUGAGCUCUUGUCAGUUAUCCUACGAUGAUAUUCUCAGGCUGACCAAGCAGCAGAUCAAGAAUCCCCGUAUUUAUCAUGGAGGCACCCACUCGAGCCCAACUUCUCAACUCUUGUGCUGUCAGACUCCGACUAUGUUCACAGUGUGUGCAUUCAGAAGCAACUGGGAGCUGAUGAUAUCAAGUAUGACAUCACCUCACCACAGAUGGUACGAUCACUUCUUCACACCUGUGCGGCGACCCGAAGGUUGGAUGGUACUUUUCUGGGACAUGGUCAGACGGAUGAUGACCGUCAUCGAUCCGAUGUACUCAAAGAAAUUUCCAAAACCUCCCACGCAGCUUCGAGACGAAGCAAUAGCUUGGAAUCUAAAUGCUCGGUGUUGGCAAGUGCCACGUCUCCACUCCUCUGGUUCUCCUAAUCUAGCUCUCCGGUGAUUGUAAGCUGCGGCCUGAUGAGGCACUGCAGCCGGAUCUGCAGCAAUCGGUUGCUCAGCUCAGCCUGGAACUCCUCGCUGGAACGCAUGUAUCCACACAGCCCCUUCUGCAAAAAUUAGAAUGAAUUAAGAGAUGCAGAAAGAUUAGAAAGCAUGAAUCCAGCUGACCAGCAAGAAAUCCACGAAAAAACGAUUUUGUGUAUAAAACUUUCAUCCCUAUUGACACACUUGUAGAAUCGACGACCGCCGUUUACACCGCUC